CCCUGGACAUUUGUGCUGCACUGGAUGACACCCCUGUUGGUCCCAUAGAAACCAAGGUGAAGGACCUGAAAAGGGCACAGCCAGGAGGGCAGGUGGUCUUUCCAGCUGAACCAUGACCCCAACAGCCUCUGUUCAUCCUGGGGUUGUGGGUGACCAUGAGGGUCCCUGUGUGCCACAUCAGGAGUUCGGGUCAGACCCUCCAAUGCAGCCCCUAAAGGCAUCCAGGCCUCCUCCUGCACUGGUUCCAUCACAGGGGACCGGGCCUGCCUGUGACUAUAGAAUGACCCCCGGCUCUGGGCCUCAGGCCUUUGUAAAAUCAGCAGAGUCGUCUAGAGAAGACCUUCCUAAAGUGGGGCUCAUGAAUCUCAUGGCCAGCACGGAAUUUGAGAGAAAAAAACGACCUUGGGCUCAUUUUCCCCAGAAGCGGACCCUGAGACAAAGAUCUCAGGUCAUGAUCUCAGCUUCCCGAGAUUGGGCCCUGCAUCAUGCUCCACACUCAGG